CAGUCGCCGCGGGAAUACGAAGGGUGCAAGCGUUAAUCGGAAUUACUGGGCGUAAAGCGUGCGUAGGCGGUGAGUUAAGUCUGCUGUGAAAUCCCCGGGCUCAACCUGGGAAUGGCAGUGGAUACUGGCUCGCUAGAGUGUGUCAGAGGAUGGUGGAAUUCCCGGUGUAGCGGUGAAAUGCGUAGAGAUCGGGAGGAACAUCAGUGGCGAAGGCGGCCAUCUGGGACAACACUGACGCUGAGGCACGAAAGCGUGGGGAGCAAACAGGAUUAGAUACCCCUGUAGUCCUGUCUCUUAUACA
rnacentral:rRNA from 1 species